AAGUACCGAUUAAGCAACCCGUAAGAUCACCGAAGUUAAGCAAGGUAGAGCCUUGUCAGUACCUAGAUGGGUAACCGCUUUGGAAUACCUGGU